UCUUCUUCUUCUUCUUCUUCUGCUCUUUUACAUCUUGGAUAGCACAUUCUUUACCAUGCUAAAGACUUUUCAUUUCAAAUCCCUAACCCUUGUCUCUAAACAAUCUCUUCUCUUAAACCCGAUUGGGGGAACUAUUAUCGCUUACCCUCAAUGCACCGUUUUCUCAUCACAAUGUCCUUUUUUUCAAUUUUCACCCUUACUUUUGCAUCAAACCCAAAUCCGAAAACCAAUUGUUUGUGCAAGAAAGAAAAGAAGGAGAUCAGGGUCUCAAAAAUUAAUGAAAAUUGUGCCCAAAUUAGUAUCCUUUGUGGCAUCAAAUCCCAAGAUCUUACCAGGACCUUUAGAUUUGGUUGUUGCGGAACUUGGUGGUGGAGGUGGAGGAGGUUUAGGGUUUUGGAAGGUUUUUGGGGAUGGAAGUUCUGAUGGGUGGAGGAGAAAAGGGAAGACAAGUUUAGGACUUUUUGGAGUUUUGACAGUUUGUGGAUUGGGGUUAUUGUUUGGAAGAGAGCUAAAGAGUGAUUUAUUGUGUGGGGUUUUUGCAUUGGGUUUUCUUGUGACUCUUUUGAUUAGAGGAUACAGGAGACGAAUUAAAGAUUGGGUUUUGGGGCUCUGCUUUGUUGGCGUUUUGUUAGGUUUGAGGUUGAGGAGAGAGGAUACCCAACACUGGGUUCAGAGGCUUAGGGUUUGCCCAACAGUCUCAGGAGGACUUCUGAAGGGAAAGAGAAGAAAUCGCGGACGAGUCAUGUAAGAAAAAGGUAAAAAGCAAAGAUUUUUUUUACAGUUCUGUAUUCAUUAUUUAUUUUUAUCAGAGUAUUCAUUAUUUAUUAUGAUGUUCUAUAUUAUAGAUUUGAUUUGAGUUUGUUUAAUUCAUUUGAUAAUAAAUUUAAGAAGAAUAAUAGAUAAAACUGAAGAUCAAUGUUGUCACUAAGCUACCAGAAAUGUGGUACACCUUGAAUAUAGAGCGAAAAUGAAAGCGUAUAUCUACAUCAUAGAAAUCCUAUUCUAGAUUUAUUUCAAAAUAACUUAAUAAAAUUUAAUGUAACCUCAAAAUUUGAACAUUAAAAAGAACAAAAUUUUCACAGAUGGAAUACAAAAAAGAGUUCACAACUCAAAGGGAACAGGGGAAACAAGGCAAAUGCCACAAAAUGAAAGUUAUUAAUUAAACAAUUACUUCUACAACAGAACCUUGUACAACAAUUACACGGGCAAAGCUCUGGCCAUGAUCCUAUAAUCUCCCUUUUUCUUCAAGGCUCUCCUUAUUCUGAGGUAUCCCU
rnacentral:misc_RNA from 1 species